GGCGGACGGGUGAGUAACGCGUAGGAAUCUACCCAGUAGCGGGGGAUAGCCCGGGGAAACCCGGAUUAAUACCGCAUACGCCCCUUUUUCGUGAAGGAAGGGGGGGGAAAGGGAGCCUCUUCUUGAAAGCUCUCACUAUUGGAGGAGCCUGCGUUGGAUUAGCUAGUUGGUGGGGUAAAGGCCUACCAAGGCGACGAUCCAUAGCUGGUCUGAGAGGACGAUCAGCCACACUGGGACUGAGACACGGCCUAG
rnacentral:rRNA from 1 species